UCUGCACAAACAGAUUGUGCAGGCUGGGCCGCCCUAUACCGCGACAACACGGCAGUGUUCAUUUUGGAAAUAUUACCGUGAAGUUUAAAAAGUACACCCGAAUUUAACCUGAUCAUCUGAGCAUUGCAUCAGCAAAACUUCCCAGUCUUAGUUUGGCGUUGUAGUCGUUCAGGCAGAACCGGAACACGAGUUUGCAGUCUCCUCCCCAUAAGUAACUGAGCUGGAGAGACGCCCGACACUCCAGGUGUGUCUCGGUAUGCGAGCAGGGCGAGGUACCGAUCCGAGCUUUUCUUCAGCAUAUCCUUCACAGUGCGCACCAUGCGCUCUGCCUCUCCAUUACUCUGAGGGUAUCGAGGGCUGCUGGUCUCGUGGCAGAAUCCAUACGCUCGUGCAAAGUUGCCGAACUCCUUGGACGCGAACUGAGGUCCGUUUUCCGUCCGCACAACGUCUGGUAUCCCAAAGCGAGCGAAACAACUCUUGAUUGCAGCAGUGACCACCUUUGCUGAUGAAGUUCCCAAUGUGACUACUUCGGGAAAUCUGGAGUAGUAGUCGACAAUCAGGACGUAGUCGCGUCCUUCCAAUAUGGCGCUAAAUGGGUCGGAACUCUCUUCUUGGACGGCCAGCCUCUCUCACAAUAAGUAAUAAUCGAAGAGCAUUCACUAUCUUGAGCUUGAAGACGACGGAUCUCGUCAAGGUGACUUGCCAGUUGUGGAGGUAGAUCCUUAAGAACGUCCCAUAUAGAUUUCCAAGCUGCUGACCGCUUUGGAAGUUGGCAAGUCGCAAGGUGCUCGUGAAAGUGUGUCGGCUGUAGCUAGCAGCUUUCCAGGAACAUACUUGACCGAGAACUGAUAGCGCAUCAGUUUGAUCCGCAUACGUUGAAUUCGAGGUGGCAAGACGUCUAGAUCUUUAUUUGAAAGGAGGGCUGCAAGCGGAAGAUGAUCGGAUUCGACCUGAAAGCUUAGUCCGCGUAGGUAUUGGUCGAACCGGGUGACAGCCCGUGUGACAGCCAGACUCUUUUUCCGUUUGACCGUAGCGUCCCUCUGUAGCAGUGGGAGAUCUGGAAGCAUAGGCGACGGCAUGUCGAAUUCCCGAAGGUUGAUCCUGGGGUAAGACGGCUCCGAGGCCAUGAGAGCUUGCGUCAGCCGAUACUAGAGUUGGGUAAUGGGGAUUGUACAUAGCCAUACAUACGUCGGAGCUGAGCAAAGACGAUGUUCUUGAACGCUUGCUCUUGGUUGUAACUCCAACCCCAUGCGUUCUUCUUGUUGAGGAGAGCACGAAUAGGUGCUGAGAUCUCAGACAGGUUUGGAAUGAAUCUAGCCACAUGGUUUACCAUUCCGAGUAAUCGGCGAACACCACUGACAUCGAUUCGUGGUGGAAUAUCCAUGAUAGCCUUGACUUUGUCCAGGUCUGGACUAAUUCCCUGCUGGCUGACAACAACUCCUAAGAACUUGACAGAAGAUACUCUGAAUUGACAAUUCUUUUCGUUAAAAGUGACGCCCGCUUGAGUUAAACGCGCCAAGACGUCAGCUAGAUGCUGGUCGUGCUCUUGACGGUUCCUACCAAAGACGAGUAUGUCGUCUAUCAUGUUGACGACUCCAGUGAUGCCUUCGAGCAAUCUCGACAUGAAGCGUUGGAAAUACUCGGGCGCUGUCGCAAUGCCAAGGGAAGACGCUUGUAGCAAUAGCGACCAAAAGGUGUGAUGAAUGUUGUCAGGUCUUCGCUCUCACGAGUUAGUUUGAUCUGGUGGAAGCUGGAUCUUGCAUCGAGCUUAGAAAAAAAUUCGUGCCCCACCAAGCUGGCCUAAGAUGUCUUCAACUGUUGGCAGAAUGUAGUGUUCCCUCUGGAUAACUUUGUUAAGCUUCGUCAAGUCGACACACAGCCUGUACCCGCCCAACGGCUUCGGCACAACGACGAGGUCUGAACACCACGCGGUAGCCGUGUCAACCUUGCGAAUGACUUUUUUGGUUUCCAUUUCAUCCAAUUCCUUCUUCACCUGCUCGAGUAGAGGCAGAGGUAUUCGUCGAGGAACACUCAAUGAAAAGGGGAGAGCGUCUUGAGCAACGCGAAUAUGGUAUUCUUCUUGCCCUUCCCCAAGGCCACGAAAAAUUCUUGCUUGGGGUGACGGAAUACCUUCCACAGAGUCCAAAACCUUAACGAUGCCCAAGUCUUCAAUUGCCGGUAAUCCCAGAAGGUGUGUCGUCUGGUUCUUGAUGACAUACAGUCUUUGCACAGCGGCCUUGUUAUGCCAUUGCAAGGUAGCAGUGAAAGUUCCCAGAACGCACAAUCUUUGAUUUCCAGGACCAGACACCUCGGCGUCCACUUUAUCCAAAACGGCCGGUAAUCCCGGGAAAGAAGGCGAUACCACCGUUACUUCUGCUCCCGAGUCUAUCUUGAAGUGUGCGAGGUGACCAUUCACGUGACUGUCGGCAUAGCGCGCCCGACGCGUACUGAGCGCGUGAAGUUCAACUGAGCCUAACAGCUCCUUCCGAUGCUUGGCCCGGCAAACAGCAAGAAAGUGACCUUGCUUCUCGCAGAAAUUGCAUGUGGCCUUGCGAGCUGGGCAUUCUUUUCGAGAGUGUUGACCACGGCCGCAGUAAUCGCAAGUAGACUGAGUUGGCUGCACCGACUUGCUGCGACGCGGUGACGCGUUCUUCGCGCGUUGCGCCGCGUCCACGUUUAAGCUGUCGAAGGCCCCGCUCUCGCUGAGACUUGCGCGGGACAGACGCUCUUUUUCGGCUUCUUCAUGAAUACGCGCUUCUUCUGCCGAAAGUUUAGUACAUCGGCACAAUUGAUCCGACAGCGUCUCGUUCCGCAAUCCAUCGACAAACUUGUCUCGCACAAGUCGGUUUUCGACCUCGGCGUUGUUGUACCCACAACGUUUGACAAGAUUCCGAAGUGCGGUAAAGAAUUCGUCCACCGGCUCCCCUUGUUGUUGUACUCGGCGAGGAAAUCGACGGCUCUCGCAAAUCUGAUUGACAGGGUGAACAAAAUGCGAGGUGAGCUUAGCCUUGACUUCCGCAAACGGGAGGUCUUCCGGAGCAGACAGUCCUGGCGACAAGACGCUACGUGCUUGAGAACCCAUAAGAGUGUUCGCACUUGCACCUCGUCGGUGGCUGUGUUGAGUCCGGCAGCGAAGGCGUAAUCUUCCUACCUUGUUAUCCAUGUUGCCCAUUGCCCAGGGCUUGUGAAGUUGAACGGCGACGGAGGCUGAAGUCCCGGCAUACCGACGCGCACAACGUUGAGCUUGGAAGCGUCUGUACCGGUUGUCGGGUCAACGCUGGUCGGGUCCAUAACUGCGCGUUAGUAUCCCACUUCUGACACCAUGUUCGGAGACGCCGAGUAAAGACACGAGCGCGGCUCGUAGCAACAACAAGAAUCCCUUUUUAUUCCAUCCGCCCCCUACUAUAUACCCAAUGUCAGGGGGCGCUCACUAGAGUCACUUGAAAAAUUUCUCUAGUGACUCUAGCGCUCACCUGCCCACAGCGCCAUCCAUUAGCGACUAUACAAAGCACUCAGCGUCCACUACACGCUUCACUACACUGUAAAUAAUAACACAUUGCAAAACUAUUUAUAAAGUUAUUUUUACGCUAUUUACUUUGUAAAGAGAGGCACAGUCCAUUCAGGUGGGAUUGCGCGUCAAGCAACUGAGGAACAACCAACCAACAAUGCACGUGACUGUUUGUUUUGCGGCCAAAGCUUGGUCAGUGACGUCGCAGCAACCCUUCCUUUAUGUUUUAAUGUUUCCAUUUACAUUAACCGCCGGUUUGUUGGCCAAUCCCCUGUAGUGGGUAGGCGCCAGUAAUCAAGGUACUACAAGCAAGAAAGAAUAGAUUUUUCUUUCGAAGGCGUUUAGCUCAAACCGCUUAAUUAAGCACGUCCGCGAAGCGAGUCGAUCGUGCGCAGCGAGGCAAUGCUGGUCAUGAGGGGCAGCGAUGGCGUUUUCGCUCAAGAAGCUGCUGCUGGUGUGCUUCCUGGUGGCGUGCGGCGUGGCGCUGCUCAGCACGCCGCUGCUGCUGCGCUUCUCGGUGUACUCGGAGCGGACGCUGCCCAUGGGGUACCAGGACGUCAUCCCGCUGCACCAGCACAGCUCGACCUUCUGGUGCGAGAACAUGACGACCAUGUCGCCGCACACGUUCAACGCCUACCUCUACGACAGCGCCGAGCCGAACGUCACGGAACACACCAUGCAGGAACGGCUCUUCGUACAACAACUCGUUCCCGGUGCCGCCAGUGCGGGGCCCAAUCUUGGACUCGCAGAUACGGCGCAACAGCACGGGCUGGUCUGUGCAGUGCACCUCCGAGGCAUCUGUUGACUUGGUGCCGGACGCCUGCGGUGGUGGCGGCCCUCUUAGGCCACGGCCCGUGCUGUGGCACGAGGCUCAGGCGGACGGCUACCACUACCUGCUCUUCCUGAACGACCCGGCGAGCGAGGCGUACAACGACGUGCAGCUCGGGGUGACCGCGUGGCGGCGCGUGUUCGACCGCAACCAGAGCCUGGAUGCGUGCCGCGAGGCGCUCAACUGCAGCCUGCCGCUGGCCUUUUUCUCGCACCAGUUCGUGGUGGCCGAGCGCAGCCGCAGCACACCCACCCGGACCGAGCCGGUGUUCUUGCACGCGCGGUGCGAACCCCGCCGCAAGGUCUACUUCCUCUUCUACUUGGGCUUCGCGGUGCUCUUCGUGGUCGCCGCCUUCCAGUGACCGCCCUUGGCGUGGUGUUCGAACCAACGGCGGCUUCGCGGAGUGCCCGCAAUCGGACUGUCUCGGCUACAAACCAUGGCACCGUCCCGUGUUGUGAUGCUCUCUAGCGUUUUGUAAAUACCGCCGGUAACCUAAGUUGUGCUACGGGACGCCACUGUAGCUUUUAGUCUGAGGGACUUCCAGGAGAUACUAAAAUAGCACUGAAUAGAAGUAGCUUGCGAUAGAUCGAAGACCGCUGCUUGUGCUGUCUCACGUCUUCGGUAUGGAAAAAGGAGGCAUGCGAUACCAAAGAUCCAUGCACUUGGCCCUGCGAAGCCCGUACGUAUAGUUAGCAGUCGCAAUAUUAGGCAGCAUUGUAUGCCACUUUUCUUUUUCGCUACGUUAAUCACCAUUGCAGCAGAGCUGCCGAGGUGCGCACCCGAUCUGUCUUCAAGCCUGUUCCAAAGGCUCUAUUCGUUUUAAAGAUAAUUUUAUCGCGCAUUACACUAACCUUACAAAUAACAGCGUUCUAUAAGUGCUCUUAUGUUCGUGUCCGUUUAACAAUCGCCAUAAAACAUUCACACCGUGAAAAUUGUCGUUCCUUUGUCAGAAGCAGUGUGCUGUGAUAUUGGCCGUGUAUUUUAAAUAAUGAACUAAAGAAAAAAAUUCGGCAGAUCCCACGCCUUGUGGGAAUCUGUUUCAUGCGAAGCAGUG